rnacentral:rRNA from 1 species
UACGUAGGGUGCAAGCGUUAUCCGGAAUUAUUGGGCGUAAAGAGCUCGUAGGCGGCCUGUCGCGUCGGUUGUGAAAGCCCGGGGCUUAACCCCGGGUCUGCAGUCGAUACGGGCAGGCUAGAGUUCGGUAGGGGAGAUCGGAAUUCCUGGUGUAGCGGUGAAAUGCGCAGAUAUCAGGAGGAACACCGGUGGCGAAGGCGGAUCUCUGGGCCGAUACUGACGCUGAGGAGCGAAAGCGUGGGGAGCGAACAGG